rnacentral:tRNA from 1 species
AGGGGUGGUAUAACCAACAAGAGCUGCUAAUUCUUGCAUCCGAGCAUAAAACCUCGGCCCCCUU